GCGUGCUGUCAUUUUUAUCAUUCUGCAAACCGAGUUGCUGGGGGCCCGAAAGCCUUGUGUUUAGAAGAAGCGUGCUUUCCAGGUUACCCUGAUGGGCAGGACCCACUCCCAUCACUAAGAGAACAUCAAAAGGGCAGGUGUGGGGGUGGAUAGGAAGAUCAGGAUCUCUGAAAGGAAAUUUGCAUUGUGGUAACCUACAGACUCCACCUGGACCCAUGAUUCAUGACUCAACCAGUCCACCCAGAAGCUGACUCAGAGCAUAAGGAGCAUUUUCCACACCCCUAGGAUUUCAUCUCCAACCAAUCAGCAUUCCCCAUUCUCUAGCCCCUGUCCACCAAACUAUUCUUUAAAAACCUUAGCUCUAAGCUUUAUUUAUUUAUUUAAGUAAUACACUCCUGUCUUCCACUUAGCUGGUUCUGUAUUUAUUAAACUCUUUCUCUACUGCC
rnacentral:lncRNA from 10 species